CAGUCGCCACGGUAAUACGUAGGGUGCAAGCGUUAAUCGGAAUUACUGGGCGUAAAGCGUGCGCAGGCGGUUAUAUAAGACAGAUGUGAAAUCCCCGGGCUCAACCUGGGAACUGCAUUUGUGACUGUAUAGCUAGAGUACGGCAGAGGGGGAUGGAAUUCCGCGUGUAGCAGUGAAAUGCGUAGAUAUGCGGAGGAACACCGAUGGCGAAGGCAAUCCCCUGGGCCUGUACUGACGCUCAUGCACGAAAGCGUGGGGAGCAAACAGGAUUAGAUACCCCCGUAGUCCCUGUCUCUUAUAC
rnacentral:rRNA from 1 species